GCUUCCUACGGGAGGCAGCAGUAGGGAAUUUUGCGCAAUGGGGGAAACCCUGACGCAGCAACGCCAUGUGUGGGAUGAAGCAUUUCGGUGUGUAAACCACUGUCAGCGGGGAAUAAACGGCAGCUUCGGGCUGCUUUGAAUGUACCCGCAAAGGAAGCCCCGGCUAACUUCGUGCCAGCAGCCGCGGUAAUACGAGGGAGGCAAAUGUUGUUCGGAAUCACUGGGCGUAAAGGGAGCGUAGGCGGGUUUUUAAGUUAGGUGUUUAAUCCCGGGGCCCAACCCCGGACCGGCACUUAAAACUGGGAAUCUUGAAUAGUGGAGAGGUCGGUGGAAUUGGGGGUGUAGCGGUGGAAUGCGUAGAGAUCCCCAAGAACACCAGUUGCGAAGGCGGCCGACUGGACACAUAUUGACGCUGAGGCUCGAAAGCAUGGGGAGCAAACAGGAUUAGAUACCCUGGUAGUCCAUGCCAUAAACGAUGAAUACUAGGUUUUGGGCCCGUCAACGGUCCAGAGCCGCAGCUAACGCGUUAAGUAUUCCGCCUGGGGAGUACGGUCGCAAGACUGAAACUCAAAGGAAUUGACGGAAGC
rnacentral:rRNA from 1 species